AAUAUAUGCACUUUACAGUUUUAGGAAAAUAAAUGAAAUAAUAAUAAUAAAUUAAUAAUAAUAAUAAAAUAAAAUGUUCAAAUUGUUAGAAUGGAACAGCAGUGUAUUUUUUUUGUUGAUUGUUGAUUUAUUUAUUAGUUAAAACCAUAGAAGGGUGAAAGGGAACUUAUAAUUUUGUUUCACUGGGGAAUUAUUUAAUUGUUGCUGUCACUUCCGGGGGGCGCAUGAGGUAGAAGAGAAGCACGAGAAGAAGAAGCUGUUAACCCUCAAGUUUAUUCCUCUUGAGUUAGAGAGGCCAAUGAGGUAUGUGUUUGUUAAUUGCCUUUUUUGUAUGUAACUGUUUAUUUAGAAGCAGCCAUUUUCUUACUUGUUGAAUGUGCACUUUAUUUAAGUUAUGUACUGUAUGUCCUUCCAUAGUUCUGACGGCAUUUCGGCAUUGUGGCAUUUUGUCAUUAUUGGCAUUAUUGAAACAUAAGGCUACAAAGACUUGUUAUUUUGAAGACUUGUCCAAAAUAAAUGUCUGUUAAAAACCAAGAA